UUUUAUGGAGAGUUUGAUCCUGGCUCAGGAUGAACGCUGGCGGCGUGCCUAAUACAUGCAAGUCGAGCGAACGGACGAGAAGCUUGCUUCUCUGAUGUUAGCGGCGGACGGGUGAGUAACACGUGGAUAACCUACCUAUAAGACUGGGAUAACUUCGGGAAACCGGAGCUAAUACCGGAUAAUAUUUUGAACCGCAUGGUUCAAAAGUGAAAGACGGUCUUGCUGUCACUUAUAGAUGGAUCCGCGCUGCAUUAGCUAGUUGGUAAGGUAACGGCUUACCAAGGCAACGAUGCAUAGCCGACCUGAGAGGGUGAUCGGCCACACUGGAAC
rnacentral:rRNA from 1 species